GACAGAGGGUGCAAACGUUGUUCGGAAUUACUGGGCGUAAAGCGUGUGUAGGCGGCUGCGCAAGUCGGAUGUGAAAGCCCCGGGCUUAACCCGGGAAGUGCACUCGAAACUGCGUAGCUUGAGUAUCGGAGAGGUUGGUGGAAUUCUCGGUGUAGAGGUGAAAUUCGUAGAUAUCGAGAGGAACACCGGUGGCGAAGGCGGCCAACUGGACGAAUACUGACGCUGAGACACGAAAGCGUGGGGAGCAAACAGG
rnacentral:rRNA from 1 species